GGAGGAUCCGAGCGUUAUCCGGAUUUAUUGGGUUUAAAGGGAGCGUAGAUGGAUGUUUAAGUCAGUUGUGAAAGUUUGCGGCUCAACCGUAAAAUUGCUGUUGAUACUGGAUGUCUUGAGUGCAGUUGAGGCAGGCGGAAUUCGUGGUGUAGCGGUGAAAUGCUUAGAUAUCACGAAGAACUCCGAUUGCGAAGGCAGCCUGCUAAGCUGCAACUGACAUUGAGGCUCGAAAGUGUGGGUAUCAAACAGGAUUAGAUACCCUGGUAGUCCACACGGUAACGAUGAAUACUCGCUGUUUGCGAUAUACGGCAAGCGGCCAAGCGAAAGCGUUAAGUAUUCCACCUGGGGAGUACGCCGGCAACGGUGAAACUCAAAGG
rnacentral:rRNA from 1 species